rnacentral:rRNA from 1 species
CCUACGGGGGGCUGCAGUGGGGAAUAUUGGACAAUGGGCGAAAGCCUGAUCCAGCCAUGCCGCGUGUGUGAAGAAGGCCUUCGGGUUGUAAAGCACUUUCAGUGGGGAAGAAAGCCUUGGGGCUAAUACCCUCGAGGAAGGACAUCACCCACAGAAGAAGCACCGGCUAACUCCGUGCCAGCAGCCGCGGUAAUACGGAGGGUGCGAGCGUUAAUCGGAAUUACUGGGCGUAAAGCGCGCGUAGGCGGUCUGAUAAGCCGGUUGUGAAAGCCCCGGGCUCAACCUGGGAACGGCAUCCGGAACUGUCAGGCUAGAGUGCAGGAGAGGAAGGUAGAAUUCCCGGUGUAGCGGUGAAAUGCGUAGAGAUCGGGAGGAAUACCGGUGGCGAAGGCGGCCUUCUGGACUGACACUGACGCUGAGGUGCGAAAGCGUGGGUAGCAAACAGGAUUAAAUACCCCAGUAGUC